CUCUGAACCUCCACUGUGGAACCACAUGGGGAGCCACAGGGACCAGUCCCACGGAAAAGCCAGGACAUGCUCCAAAAGAUGGCCCAAGGAGUAGAGACGGAGUUUCAACCAUGUUAGCCAAGAUGUUCUCGAUCUCCUGACCUCGUGAUCCUCCCGCCUCGGCCUCUCAAAGUGCUGGGAUUACAGACUCUACUCUUUGGAAGCAAGUCCCUAGCACAGCCCAAACUCACCGGUGUUAAGCUCCAUCUCAUUGAGAGGCAAGUAGCUAUAUAAAUUAUUUG
rnacentral:lncRNA from 1 species